GGAGCUAUUGGCUUUGAAUUGUAUUGUGGAAAUGUAUUACCAACAGAGGUGCAGGUGCCAGCCUAUUGAAAUAAAGCGUCAAUGAGGGUGAGAAUCCUGUUUGUCAUGUGCAGCCCUUUGUGCACGGUGUAUAUUUGCUGAGUCACACUCCUUGGCAUUGGAAUGCAAAGUGGGUGGUAAGUUUCAUGUAAAGGUAAACAUGCAAUUGAGACUGAUAGCACACAAGUACCAUGAGGGAAAUAUGAAAAGGACUUUGAAAAGAGAAUUAAAUGAGUUUGUAUUUGCUGAACACAAAGUAAACAGACUUGAUUUGCUUGGUGGGAGUGUUGCACUUGCUUGACAAGAGCUUUGGGCUGUGGGUGUAAUGAUUCUUUCUUUGCAUGCCAGUUUCUAUUUGUACAUCUGAUUACCUUUGCACAUGAAUGAUAAGUCUCCUGUGGGGGGUGGAUUGCAUGUGCAUGUAAUGAUUUGUGUUUUGAUAAAUGUGUCUGGUGUAUGUGUGUGUUCCUGUGCUUGGGGAUGCUUCCUUCCUUGGACUUACAAGCCCUGACACACACAUGCUGGCAAAAUGCUUCUGCUUGACCCGUCUUGAAACACGGACCAAGGAGUCUAACAGAUGUGCAAAGUUUGAAGGUGGUAUACCUUUGUGUGCAAUGAAAGUGUCAGCUGGGAUAUGUGCACCAGCACCCAAUUAAUUAGCGGACAGAGGUUUGAGUUGGAGCAUAUCUAUUAGGACCCGAAAGAUGGUGAACUAUGCCUGAACAGAAUGAAUUCAGAGGAAACUCUGAUGGAGGUUCGUAUCGAUACUGACGUGCAAAUCGUUCGUCAUAUUUGGGUAUAGGGGCGAAAGACUAAUCGAACCAUCUAGUAGCUGGUUCCCUCCGAAGUUUCCCUCAGGAUAGCUGGAGUUGCUCAGUUUUAUCAGGUAAAGCGAAUGAUUAGAGGAAUUGGGGACAGGUUUGUCUUUGACCUAUUCUCAAACUUUAAA
rnacentral:rRNA from 1 species